GACGAACGCUGGCGGCGCGCUUAACACAUGCAAGUCGAACGGAAAGGCCUGCUUUCCCUUGUGGAUUGCGGGUACUCGAGUGGCGAACGGGUGAGUAACACGUGAGUGAUCUGCCCCCAACUUGGGUAUAAGCCUGGGAAACUGGGUCUAAUUCCCGAUAGGACUGCAGGGUGGUGCCUGUGGUGGAAAACGAUUUUCUAGUGGUUGGGGAUGAGCUCGCGGCCUAUCAGCUUGUUGGUGGGGUAAUGGCCUACCAAGGCGGCGACGGGUAGCCGGCCUGAGAGGGUGGACGGCGACAUUGGGACUGAGAUACGGCCCAGACUCCUGCGGGAGGCAGCAGUGGGGACUAUUGCACAGUGGGCGGAAGCCUGAUGCAGCGACGCAGCGUGGGGGAUGACGGCCUUCGGGUUGUAAGCUCCUUUCGACCGCGAGGAAGCCACCUGGUUGGAAGGGUGGUGACGGUAGUGGUAGAAGAAGCACCGGCUAACUACGUG
rnacentral:rRNA from 1 species